rnacentral:lncRNA from 10 species
ACACAGGUGGCCAUACCUCCAGAGAAGUACUUCAGCGGUAGAAGACUCAAGCGGCUGGUCCUCCAGAGGACCUCGAGAGGAGCAUGUUGGCAGAAAAACACACCGACAGACAUCUGCACGCCUGCAGGCCAUUGAUUGAGGGGACUAGGCGGAGUUUGGCCGGGGCUGUUGGAGGAGAGCCGGGGCCACCUAGCGGCCCAAUUCCAGGGGAAAAUCGUCUGCCUCUGGCUCCUCCAUCAGCUGAGAGCUACUUCCACUCAAUAAAACUUUGUACUCUUUCUCCAGUCCCGCAUGUGAUCCGAUUCUUCCGGUACACCAAGGCAAGAACCCGGGAUACAGAAAGCCCUCUGUCCUUGCGACAAGGUAGAGGUUCUAAUUGAGCGGACUUACACAAGACACCUAUAGACGGCAAAUUAAAAGAGCACCCUGUAACACACGCCCACUGGGGCUUCAGGAGCUGUAAACGUUCACCCCUAGACACUGCCGUGGAGUCAAGAGCCCCACAGCCUGCCCAUCUGUAUGCUCCCCUAGAAGUUUGAGCAGCGGGGCACUGAAGAAGCAAGCCACACCCACAUCGCACGCCCUGCGAGGGGGAUGACGGAACCUUUCCCGUUUCAAUAUGACCAUAGCUGCAGUUAUGGCAUUAACCACCCAGUUGUUACCUACUUCUAGAUGAAAGCUCAAUUUUCCUACAUAAUUAAGAGUUUGGAAUUCGGGCAAUAUCAAGAACCACAUCUGUCCUGAAAUCAAUUAUCUCUGUUUGAAACACAAGAAAUAAGAAGACCAUUUUGAGAAGAACAGAGAGUAGCCUUAAGAAAAUCCCUGUCGCAAGCACUCUGGGAUUUGGACUCAAAUGCUAAUUAUACAAUGAGGAAAUUGAGAUACAGAAAGG